UGGGGAAUAUUGGGCAAUGGAGGAAACUCUGACCCAGCAACGCCGCGUGAGUGAAGAAGGUCUUCGGAUUGUAAAGCUCUGUGAUAUGGGACGAAAAAAAUGACGGUACCAUAUAAGCAAGCCACGGCUAACUACGUGCCAGCAGCCGCGGUAAUACGUAGGUGGCGAGCGUUGUCCGGAAUGACUGGGCGUAAAGGGUGCGUAGGUGGCUAUGUAAGUUAGCAGUGAAAUCCCGGGGCUUAACCCCGGUGCUACUGUUAAAACUGCGUAGCUUGAGUACAGGAGAGGUAAGUGGAAUUCCUAGUGUAGCGGUGGAAUGCGUAGAUAUUAGGAGGAACACCAGAGGCGAAGGCGACUUACUGGACUGCAACUGACACUGAGGCACGAAAGCGUGGGGAUCAAACA
rnacentral:rRNA from 1 species